GAUGAACGCUGGCGGCGUGCCUAAUACAUGCCAGUCGAGCGGACGGGCGAUGAUUUUGCGGCUCUGAUGUUAGCGGCGGGCGGGUGAGUAACACGUGGAUAACCUACCUAUAAGACUGGGAUAACUUCGGGAAACGGGAGCUAAUAGCGGAUAAUAUUUUGCACCGCAUGGUUCAAAAGUGAAAUACGGUCUUGCUGGCACUUAUAGAUGGAUCCGCGCUGCAUUAGCUAGUUGGUAAGGUAACGGCUUACCAAGGCAACGAUGCAUGGCCGACCUGAGCGGGGGGUCGGCCACCUUGGAACGGGGCCCCGGUCCAGAGUCCUACGGGAGGCCGCAGUAGGGAAUCUUCCGCAGUGGGGGCAAGCCUGACGGAGCGACGCGGCGUGAGAUCUGAAGGUCUUCGGAUCGUAAAACCCUGUUAUUAGGGAAGAACAUAUGUGUAAGUAACUGUGCACAGCUUGACGGUACCUAAUCAGAAAGCCCCGGCUAACUACGUG
rnacentral:rRNA from 1 species